GAUGAACGCUGGCGGCGUGCUUAACACAUGCAAGUCGAACGAGAGAUACAGGAGGAAGUUUUCGGACGGAAUCCGGUAGAUCGAGUGGCGGACGGGCGAGUAACGCGUGGGGAACCUGCCUCAUACAGGGGGAUAACAGUUGGAAACGACUGUUAAUACCGCAUAAGACCACAGAGUCGCAUGACUCAGGGGUAAAAACUCCGGUGGUAUGAGAUGGACCCGCGUUCGAUUAGCCAGUUGGCGGGGUAACGGCCCACCAAAGCGACGAUCGAUAGCCGAUUUGAGAGAAUGACCGGCCACAUUGGGACUGAGACACGGCCCAAACUCCUACGGGAGGCAGCAGUGGGGAAUAUUGCACAAUGGGGGGAACCCUGAUGCAGCGACGCCGCGUGAGUGAAGAAGUAUUUCGGUAUGUAAAGCUCUAUCAGCAGGGAAGAAGAGGACGGUACCUGAGUAAGAAGCCCCG
rnacentral:rRNA from 1 species